UUAAGAGCGCACCGGUAAGUUGGUAACAAGUUACGCAUGGUAAACCACACCAAGAGCAAAAUCAAAUAGGCGUUACAGAGCUUUUAUAAGCUCCCGGGUAUCUCUAACCGGUUUGUAAUGCGGGUAGAUCGCUUGAA
rnacentral:RNase_P_RNA from 1 species